rnacentral:lncRNA from 10 species
CAGGGGUUUCCGCUUUCGGUUCUUCCUCAUUUUCUCUUGCUGCCGCAAUGUAAGAAGAGCCAUACGCCUCCCGCCAUGAUUCUGAGACCUCCACAGCGAUGUGGAACUGUUGUACAGGAAACAUAGCUUGGAAGCCUCAGAAAACUUACAGUCUUCGCAGAAGGUGAAUGGGAAGCAAGCGCAUGUUCACAUGUUGGAGCAGGAGACAGAAUAAAGAAAGAAGCGCUUACAAACUUUUAAAACAACCAGAUCUUGUGAGAACUCACUCCUUAUCAUGAGAACAGCAAGGAGAAAGUCUGCAUCCAUGAUCCAGUCAUCUCCCACCAGGCCCCUCUUCCAACAUGUGGCAAUUACAAUUUAACAUGAGAUUUGGGUGGGGACACAGAGCCAAACCAUAUCAGAAUAAUACAAGUAAAAAUACUAAAAAUCUAAUAUUUAUGGAGUAUUUUACAAAGCACUGUGACCUAAUAGAAAUUAAGUUACAGUUUAAGUUAUUUAUGAUUCACCCUGUCUCUUCUAAGAAAGUUUAUCAUGCCAAAAAUAGGUAUUAUACCGGCAGUUAACAAGAAUUACUUAUUAAAAUGCAUGAUUAAAAUAG